GAUGAACGCUGACAGAAUGCUUAACACAUGCAAGUCGAACGAGUGGCGGACGGGUGAGUAAUGCUUGGGAAUCUGGCUUAUGGAGGGGGAUAACGACGGGAACCUGUCGCUAAUACCGCGUACCAUAGGCUGAGCCCAAGUGGGAUUAGGUAGUUGGUGGGGUAAAGGCCUACCAAGCUUACGAUCUCUAGCUGGUCUGAGAGGGUGACCAGCCACACCGGGACUGAGAGACGGCCCGGACUCCUACGGGAGGCAGCAGUGGGGAAUAUUGCGCAAGGGGGGCAACCCUGACGCAGCCAUGCCGCUUGAAUGAAGAAGGCCUUCGGGUUGUAAAGUUCUUUCGGUAUUGAGGCGUUAAAUACAGAAGAAGCACCGGCUAACUCCGUGCCAGCAGCCGCGGUAAUAG
rnacentral:rRNA from 1 species